AUUGAACGCUGGCGGCAUGCCUUACACAUGCAAGUCGAACGGCAGCACGGGUGCUUGCACCUGGUGGCGAGUGGCGAACGGGUGAGUAAUACAUCGGAACAUGUCCUGUAGUGGGGGAUAGCCCGGCGAAAGCCGGAUUAAUACCGCAUACGAUCUACGGAUGAAAGCGGGGGACCUUCGGGCCUCGCGCUAUAGGGUUGGCCGAUGGGUGAUUAGCUAGUUGGUGGGGUAAAGGCCUACCAAGGCGACGAUCAGUAGCUGGUCUGAGAGGACGACCAGCCACACUGGGACUGAGACACGGCCCAGACUCCUACGGGAGGCAGCAGUGGGGAAUUUUGGACAAUGGGCGAAAGCCUGAUCCAGCAAUGCCGCGUGUGUGAAGAAGGCCUUCGGGUUUUAAAGCACUUUUGUCCGGAAAGAAAUCCUUGGCCCUAAUACGGUCGGGGGAUGACGGUACCGGAAGAAUAAGCACCGGCUAACUACGUG
rnacentral:rRNA from 1 species